rnacentral:rRNA from 1 species
GUGAACGCUGGCGGUAGGCCUAACACAUGCAAGUCGAACGGCAGCACAGUAAGAGCUUGCUCUUACGGGUGGCGAGUGGCGGACGGGUGAGGAAUACAUCGGAAUCUACUUUUUCGUGGGGGAUAACGUAGGGAAACUUACGCUAAUACCGCAUACGACCUACGGGUGAAAGCAGGGGAUCUUCGGACCUUGCGCGAUUGAAUGAGCCGAUGUCGGAUUAGCUAGUUGGCGGGGUAAAGGCCCACCAAGGCGACGAUCCGUAGCUGGUCUGAGAGGAUGAUCAGCCACACUGGAACGGAGACACGGUCCAGACUCCUGCGGGAGGCAGCAGUGGGGAAUAUUGGACAAUGGGCGCAAGGCUGAUCCAGCCAUACCGCGUGGGUGAAGAAGGCCUUCGGGUUGUAAAGCCCUUUUGUUGGGAAAGAAAAGCAGCAGGUUAAUACCCCGCUGUUCUGACGGUACCCAAAGAAUAAGCACCGGCUAACUUCGUG